GGUCUUCCUUGAUGAGUUUAUAAAACAAGCUCAUAUUUGCCAUGGUGUAGAAUGGUACAAAUUUUCGCGAUAGAUAGUCCUUAGGUGAUCUACUCUGGCAGCGUGUGAAACCCAUUCCAUUUGGUAUCGCAGUCAAGAGGGGAUCGUCAAGAGGCUGGCUCGAUUCUUAAGAACCUGUUUCCCACACCAUAGGGACGACUACACUUUUUAAGCGACGCAGAAAAGUAGAACGGAUAAAAAAAAUGAUUUUGAGGGAUUUUGUUGGUACUUUGGGUAAAAUGACGAAUCCAGGUAUUACAGCAUGAGAUAUGCAUGAGAAGAAGGCACAAUCCCUUCCACCCAGUUCUGCACAGAUUCACAUCUUGAAGAAGCUCCGAAAGACCAUAAGUAAACUGAGUGAUCCAGGAGAUGCCUGAUUCUGAGACAGCAUGUGAAGCAAAAGUGUAGAGUACAAUCUAGGGAAUCUCCCAGAGGGGAUUCAUCUCAUCAUAUCAUCUUCCCAGAAACAAAUUCUAUUGCUGGCCCCACCUUAUAUUUGGCAAAAGUGUAGAGUACAAUCUAGGGAAUCUCCUAGAGGGAAUUCAUCUCAUCUGCUUCAGACUUGCACCAUAUGUAGUGAAAGGUUGUCCUACUUAAAUGGUAUGCAUCUGUGUUCUGAAGUUUUGUAAUUUGUAAUAUUUAAAAUAUAGCAGAAAGCGGACAAGCUACAGAAUGUACUUCUAUGUGUACAUAUUUAUCUUUGGCACAAUGAAUUCUGUCUUUUGACAUGGAUAUUAUGGUUCAUAUUUCUAAUGCAAUUGAAAUUCUGGAAAAAGUAAAACCGGACAAUGUCAAACUAUUUCUGGUGUAGUUUUUUAGUAAAAUUUGUUCUUACUGAAUGGAUGUUACUCAAAUAUAUGAUGCAUUCUCUAUUUUUUUGGAUCUGCCCUUUGUGAUCCUAGGUGAGUAUUAUUUCCCCCAAAAUUUCAAGUUUGCUUUUUUAUUUUCUAUCUUUGCUAUUAUUUUCUUUAAAAUAUGUCAGAGCAUUACUCUUUCAAGCUUGUCUUGAGGUCAGCAUCAGGGAACAGCAUUAGGAGCUUACACUUCUCCAGCCAGAUGUCUCAUAUUGUGAUGCUUGCCUUACGUCUGGGGUCUGGGAUUCCUAAAAAAAAUUUAGGUUCUUGGGGAUUGGUGCAACCACUUGUGCAACAAUAUCUUCUUGUUCUGUGAAUUCAUGUAAGAAUCCAAAAAGAGAGACCUGUCAUCUACAAGGAGGGGAAUGUGCAGUCAGUUUCAACCCUAACCCAGCCCAAUCCCCCUUAAUUUAGCGCAGUUCUCAACCCUAAUCCAGUAUGAGCUAGGCCAAAAUGUUUCUCUUUUGGGUACAUCCUUGGAACCGUCUAUUGGAGUCAAAGUCCAUACUCUGUCACCUUAUGAAUUGAUGACUGUACUGCAUUUUCACGUGAUUCGGUAAUAUUGUAUUGCAAAAAUGUUUAUGUUCUGAAAGGAGAAGGAAGAGAUUGUGUAUCACCUGCUUAUCCAUUGCAACUUCUUCUGGGUCCUCUGCUGCGGAUUCAUUAACCUUUUUUAUGCCAGUUAGGUUGUGUCUGUUCCUUGUAGGCUUUAAAUAAAAGGUUGGAGUACAUACUUAGAGCUAGAGAUAUUGAUCUUAUGACAUAUACUUCUCCAACAAAUAUUUUGGGGCCUGGAGGUUAUGGAAAGAAAAGGAUCAUGUGAUGUUUUGAAGAUAGAUGCAGCUCUUUUUAGUUGGUGGAAAAUGGUUGUGAGCACUGGCAGUCCAAUUGGUUCUGUACUUCAAGAAAUUUAUGAUGGUUACCAUAUUGAGUCCAAUGCAUUUAUUUUUCUGUCCUACCCCAAUUCAGUUGAAUUAAGCAUACAAUAACUUGCUUCCAUCCCCCCCCCCCUCCAAAAAAAAAAACCCCAAAAACAAAUUAUAUGUGAAGAAAUAAAUUUGUUAUUUACAAACUUAUAUCCGUUUUAGAUAGUGUAACCUUUCAUUUCUUUUUUUCUAUCAAGCUUUUAUUUACCUUUUCUUUAACUGAGCUUUGAUGCAGAAGCCUCAAAACUCUGGAAGUCAGGCUUUACUUCAAUACUAUAGAUCUAAAUUAUCUAAUUCUGAUGCUUAUAUAAGGAAAAUUCUGUUAUCUGUUGUUACAUGGUCUUCACUUUUCAAAAUUCAGAGGUGUUGGAUUGACUACUUUCGUGAGUUUCUAGAGAAUGAUCAUACAUGAGUAGUUUCUGUUCAGGCUGGUCCAUUCCUAUUGCUUGCCCUCAUCGAUUUUGUUAAAAAGAUAUUGUUGGUGAUCGUCAUAUUACAGCUGCAAUACGAAGUAUUAUAUUUACUUCUGGAUUCUAUCAAUGGUAAUACUAAUGAUGGGAGGUAUGGAAUGAAUGGCAUGCACUCUUACUGUGGAAGUUAUGACCAUAGAUAUUGCGACUCCGACACAAGAUGGAGGAUGGUAUUAAAAUCGUGUUGGCAACUGGAGACAGAUGCACUAGGAAUCACAUAUUCAAAAGUUUGAUGCUGAUUUCCUUUAGCAUGCACUGGUCUUUAUGCCUAAUAACUGGAGAAAUCCUCUUCAGGAUCAUGGGAUUAGGACUCUUAUCCACUACUUUGUUGAGGCUUCUGAAGGAGCAAAAUUCUUGGUUGAUGAAGAUGAAGAAUUGCAAGUGGGACUGAAGUUUUAAGAAGCAUCUCAAUCUUGAAGAACCCAUUUAACACCCUUUCUAUUGCAAAUAACAAGCUUGGCAGCUUAGUUUUUCUAAAAUUCACUUUUCCCUUGAUAGAAAAUGACAUUUCAUCUUUCCAUUUCUGUUACCGCAAUUCAGUCAAGUAGCACCAGCCCUGGCACAGUUUAUGGGCACAUGUUGUGUAAAGAGUGCUCAAUAUUGAAGAUACUGAUCUGGGUUCUUCUGGAUUCCUAGAACUACAAGAAAAUAUUUCUGGAGGAAGUAAUACUUGCUCAUCUCAACACAAAAUACUCAGUGCUGUGAGUCUGCUUACAUUUCAUUGCUAGAUGAGCUCCAAGUUCAUGGAAGUCCCAUCGUGAUGUUGCCACCAUCAACUGCUUCAGUAGCACCUUAUGAUGAUGAUGAUCCUUUAGGACAUGGCCAUCAUAUAUUUAUUUGGGAAAACAAAUAAAUAUUAGAAUGGAUGAAUCUCUAUGGCCCCCUUGCAGGACUAUUCAGCUACAUGUUUGAAGAUUAGCUGUUUGUAACUUUUAAUUAAUUGUUUAAUAUUUACAAUACAUAUGCUUAGUACUAAAGUUUAUAUUCUUCAUAUUUACACCAUGUGUUCCAGUCAGGAGAAGUGAGAUCAAUAAAGCAGAUGAAAGGGUAUUCUAUUAACUGUUGGUUGGUAAUAGAGAAGGAACUAUUGUUUUUUCUUGAUAAAGAAGGAACUGAUGUUGUGGUUUGGGUUUCCAUUACCUGAGGAUGG